UAACGUAGCGAAAGUUACGCUAAUACCGCAUACGCCCUGAGGGGGAAAGUGGGGGACCGCAAGGCCUCACGCGAGUGGAGCGGCCGAUGCCAGAUUAGCUAGUUGGUGGGGUAAAGGCCCACCAAGGCGACGAUCUGUAGCGGGUCUGAGAGGAUGAUCCGCCACACUGGGACUGAGACACGGCCCAGACUCCUACGGGAGGCAGCAGUGGGGAAUUUUGGACAAUGGGCGCAAGCCUGAUCCAGCCAUGCCGCGUGCGGGACGAAGGCCUUCGGGUUGUAAACCGCUUUCAGCCGGAAAGAAAUCGCCGUUUUUAAUACAGACGGUGGAUGACGGUACCGGAAGAAGAAGCACCGGCUAACUACGUG
rnacentral:rRNA from 1 species